rnacentral:rRNA from 1 species
UACGUGAAAGACUAGUAUUAUUCAUCUUUAAUCGGUUUAAAGGGUACCUAGACAGCAUGUUUAACCUUAUAAAAGGUAUUUAUUAGCUAGAGUUUUAAUAAAACACAGUAGUACUAAUGGUGUAACGAUAAAAUAUUUUGAUACCAUUAAGACUUAUAAUAACGAAAGUAACUGUACGUAUUAAAACUGACGUUGAGGUACGAAGG